AGAUGCAAGGGUGAUCUGGCUGUGACAUCUGUCCCCUCAUUACACAGAGUUGAUGUGGGGGCCGGAGAUUUAGCUCAGUGGUUCCAGCGCCUGCCUUGCAAGCGAAAGGUCCUGACUUCGAUCCCCAGUACCCCCCAAAAAAACAAAACAAAACAGUUGAUGUGGCUGAUCUGUCUUGGGCGGUUGGGGGGGGGGUCCCUUCCUCUCUCAUUGGUCCAUGUGUAUCCCUCACGAAACUGUGUGCUUGGUGGAAGAGAACGACCCUCCCUGAUAGAAGAGGGCUAUUCUUCCAUCAAGGGUACAGGAGCAGCUGAGCUGCAUGGCUGGAAUCUCCAAACAAGCUCUCAGGGACCAGGGCAGGUGUACUUUCAGUUUCUGAGUCCUCAAGGUCAUUUGGCUCUGUCUCU
rnacentral:snRNA from 1 species